rnacentral:rRNA from 1 species
GACGAACGCUGGCGGCGUGCUUAACACAUGCAAGUCGAACGGAAAGGCCCUGCUUUUGUGGGGUGCUCGAGUGGCGAACGGGUGAGUAACACGUGAGUAACCUGCCCUUGACUUUGGGAUAACUUCAGGAAACUGGGGCUAAUACCGGAUAGGAGCUCCUGCUGCAUGGUGGGGGUUGGAAAGUUUCGGCGUUUGGGGAUGGACUCGCGGCUUAUCAGCUUGUUGGUGGGGUAGUGGCUUACCAAGGCUUUGACGGGUAGCCGGCCUGAGAGGGUGACCGGCCACAAUGGGACUGAGAUACGGCCCAGACUCCUACGGGAGGCAGCAGUGGGGAAUAUUGCACAAUGGGCGGAAGCCUGAUGCAGCAACGCCGCGUGCGGGAUGACGGCCUUCGGGUUGUAAACCGCUUUCGCCUGUGACGAAGCGUGAGUGACGGUAAUGGGUAAAGAAGCACCGGCUAACUACGUG